rnacentral:rRNA from 1 species
UAGGGAAUCUUCCGCAAUGGACGAAAGUCUGACGGAGCAACGCCGCGUGAGUGAAGAAGGUUUUCGGAUCGUAAAACUCUGUUGUCAGAGAAGAACAAGUCGGAGAGUAACUGCUCCGGCCUUGACGGUAUCUGACCAGAAAGCCACGGCUAACUACGUGCCAGCAGCCGCGGUAAUACGUAGGUGGCAAGCGUUGUCCGGAUUUAUUGGGCGUAAAGCGAGCGCAGGCGGUUCCUUAAGUCUGAUGUGAAAGCCCACGGCUCAACCGUGGAAGGUCAUUGGAAACUGGGGAACUUGAGUGCAGAAGAGGAGAGUGGAAUUCCAUGUGUAGCGGUGAAAUGCGUAGAUAUAUGGAGGAACACCAGUGGCGAAGGCGACUCUCUGGUCUGUAACUGACGCUGAGGCUCGAAAGCGUGGGGAGCAAACA